CUACGGGCGGUAGCAGUGAGGAAUUUUGCGCAAUGGGGGUAACCCUGACGCAGCAACGCCGCGUGAGUGAAGAAGGCCUUUGGGUCGUAAAGCUCUGUCGACAGGGAAGAAGUUACUAUUGUCUAAUAUAUGGUAGUAUUGACGGUACCUGUGGAGGAAGCGCCGGCUAACUCCGUGCCAGCAGCCGCGGUAACACGGGGGGCGCAAGCGUUAUUCGGAAUUAUUGGGCGUAAAGGGCGCGUAGGCGGCCUUGUCAGUCAGAUGUGAAAGCCCGGGGCUCAACCCCGGACGUGCAUUUGAAACAGCAAGGCUUGAGUACGGGAGAGGAAAGCGGAAUUCCUGGUGUAGAGGUGAAAUUCGUAGAUAUCAGGAGGAACACCGAUGGCGAAGGCAGCUUUCUGGACCGAUACUGACGCUGAUGCGCGAAGGCGUGGGUAGCGAACAGGAUUAGAUACCCUAGUAGUC
rnacentral:rRNA from 1 species